CCUACGGGUGGCAGCAGUAGGGAAUCUUCCACAAUGGGCGAAAGCCUGAUGGAGCAACGCCGCGUGGGUGAAGAAGGUCUUCGGAUCGUAAAACCCUGUUGUUAGAGAAGAAAGUGUGUGAGAGUAACUGUUCACGUUUCGACGGUAUCUAACAAGAAAGCCACGGCUAACUACGUGCCAGCAGCCGCGGUAAUACGUAGGUGGCAAGCGUUAUCCGGAUUUAUUGGGCGUAAAGGGAACGUAGGCGGUCUUUUAAGUCUGAUGUGAAAGCCUUCGGCUUAACCGGGGUAGUGCAUUUGAAACUGGGAGACUAGAGAGUAGAUGAGGUAGGUGGA
rnacentral:rRNA from 1 species